UACGUAGGGUGCGAGCGUUGUCCGGAUUAUUGGGCGUAAAGAGCUCGUAGGCGGUUUGUCGCGUCUGCCGUGAAAGUCCGGGGCUCAACUCCGGAUCUGCGGUGGGUACGGGCAGACUAGAGUGAUGUAGGGGAGACUGGAAUUCCUGGUGUAGCGGUGAAAUGCGCAGAUAUCAGGAGGAACACCGAUGGCGAAGGCAGGUCUCUGGGCCGAUACUGACGCUGAGGAGCGAAAGCGUGGGGAGCGAACAGG
rnacentral:rRNA from 1 species